GACGAACGCUGGCGGCGUGCUUAACACAUGCAAGUCGAACGGAAAGGCCCUGCUUGCAGGGUACUCGAGUGGCGAACGGGUGAGUAACACGUGGGUGAUCUGCCCUGCACUUCGGGAUAAGCCUGGGAAACUGGGUCUAAUACCGGAUAGGAGCCAUUUUUAGUGUGAUGGUUGGAAAGUUUUUUCGGUGUAGGAUGAGCUCGCGGCCUAUCAGCUUGUUGGUGGGGUAAUGGCCUACCAAGGCGGCGACGGGUAGCCGGCCUGAGAGGGUGGACGGCCACAUUGGGACUGAGAUACGGCCCAGACUCCUACGGGAGGCAGCAGUGGGGAAUAUUGCACGAUGGGCGCCAGCCUGAUGCAGCGACGCCGCGUGGGGGAUGACGGCCUUCGGGUUGUAAACUCCUUUCGCUAGGGACGAAGCUUUUUGUGACGGUACCUAGAUAAGAAGCACCGGCUAACUACGUG
rnacentral:rRNA from 1 species